rnacentral:rRNA from 1 species
CCUCUUCCCAUACCGAACAGAGAAGUUAAGCCCCUCAUGGCCGAUGGUACUGCACCACAAUGCGGGAGAGUAGGUAGCUGCCAUAU